rnacentral:rRNA from 1 species
UACGUAGGGGCCGAGCGUUGUCCGGAGUUAUUGGGCGUAAAGCGCGCGCAGGCGGCUUCGCGCGCCCGACGUGAAAGCCCCCGGCUUAACCGGGGAGAGUCGUUGGGGACGGCGGAGCUUGAGGGCGGGAGAGGGCGGUGGAAUUCCCGGUGUAGUGGUGAAAUGCGUAGAGAUCGGGAGGAACACCUGUGGCGAAGGCGGCCGCCUGGGCCGACCCUGACGCUGAGGCGCGAAGGCGUGGGGAGCGAACGGGAUUAGAAACCCCAGUAGUCC